CGCGUAGGUGGGAUGAUAAGUCGGAUGUGAAAGGCCUGGGCUUAACCUAGGAACUGCAUUUGAUACUGUCAUUCUAGAGUGAAACAGAGGGUGGUGGAAUUUCCGGUGUAGCGGUGAAAUGCGUUGAUAUCGGAAGGAACACCCGUGGCGAAGGCGACCACCUGGGUUUUUACUGACACUGAGGCGCGAAAGCGUGGGUAGCGAACA
rnacentral:rRNA from 1 species